rnacentral:rRNA from 1 species
UACGUAGGGGCCGAGCGUUGUCCGGAGUUACUGGGCGUAAAGCGCGCGCAGGCGGCUCGUCAAGCCUGACGUGAAAGCCCCCGGCUCAACCGGGGAGGGUCGUCGGGGGACUGGCGGGCUUGAGGUCGGCAGGGGUUGGUGGAAUUCCCGGUGUAGUGGUGAAAUGCGUAGAGAUCGGGAGGAACACCCGUGGCGAAGGCGGCCAACUGGGCCGGACCUGACGCUGAGGCGCGAAGGCGUGGGGAGCGAACGGG